CUGUGAGGGGAAUGAUGUACUACUAUAGGGCACUCAAGAUGUUAGCAUUUCUUGAUUCUGCUUCUGAGAUUGAUAUACAAG
rnacentral:snoRNA from 1 species